ensembl:snRNA U6 U6 spliceosomal RNA
GUGCUUGCUUUGGCAGCACAUAUACUAAAAUGGGAACAAUAUAGAGAAAGUUGUCAUGGCCCUGCACAAGGAUGACAUGCAAAUUUGUGAAACGUUCCCUGUUUUU